rnacentral:rRNA from 1 species
CAGCAGCCGCGGUAAUACGUAGGGUGCAAGCGUUAAUCGGAAUUACUGGGCGUAAAGCGUGCGCAGGCGGUUAUAUAAGACAGAUGUGAAAUCCCCGGGCUCAACCUGGGAACUGCAUUUGUGACUGUAUAGCUAGAGUACGGCAGAGGGGGAUGGAAUUCCGCGUGUAGCAGUGAAAUGCGUAGAUAUGCGGAGGAACACCGAUGGCGAAGGCAAUCCCCUGGGCCUGCACUGACGCUCAUGCACGAAAGCGUGGGGAGCAAACAGGAUUAGAUACCCCUGUAGUCCCUGUCUCUUAUAC